UACCAGACUCCUACGGGAGGCAGCAGUGGGGAAUAUUGCACAAUGGGGGAAACCCUGAUGCAGCGACGCCGCGUGAGUGAAGAAGUAUUUCGGUAUGUAAAGCUCUAUCAGCAGGGAAGAAGAAGGACGGUACCUGAGUAAGAAGCCCCGGCUAACUACGUGCCAGCAGCCGCGGUAAUACGUAGGGGGCAAGCGUUAUCCGGAUUUACUGGGUGUAAAGGGAGCGUAGACGGCGAAGAAAGUCUGAAGUGAAAGGCCGCGGCUCAACCGCGGAACUGCUUUGGGAACUGUUUAGCUGGAGUAUGGGAGGGGUAAGCGGAAUUCCUGGUGUAGCGGUGAAAUGCGUAGAUAUCAGGAGGAACACCGGUGGCGAAGGCGGCUUACUGGACCAUGACUGACGUUGAGGCUCGAAAGCGUGGGGAGCGAACAGGAUUAGAUACCCUAGUA
rnacentral:rRNA from 1 species